rnacentral:lncRNA from 1 species
UCAAACUCACUGCUCAAACAAACUCAAUUUGUUCAAUAAGCCACAUCUUUUAUACAUAUAUUAACAUAUCUUUUGAGUUAUAUUUAUACCACUGACGACAAAAUUCGAUGCAAAAACUCCAUUUACAAUCUUGUUGAAGAGGUCACAAAUUGUUCAAACAACUACUAGGUACAUUUUCACAAAGGAUCAUGAAUCAGGAUGAGCCGAUAAUCAUCAUCAAUCUGUCUCGUGAUCAGGCACUGGAGAAUACCAAGCCGGGUAUCGUCCUCUGGCUCUAAGCAAUCUUGUGAAGGGCGAAUCCGGCAUUCUAGCUUUCUCCUCUUCCUCGAGCUCGUCGAACGUCUUGGGCAAACCAUCCGGGAUCGGACAAGGCACCGUGUCUGUAUUUUUUGCAGUCGCGUGCUUCAGCGACUCCUUGCAUUCCUUCUUUGCUUUGUGAAUUUCUGCAACUCCAUGUAAACAUCCAACUAGAGAUUUUACACCACCAGCUUCAAUAAUUAGUCUUUCUAACUCCUCCUUUGGGACCUCUUCCUGAUGAAUACCAUAAUAGCCAAAACAUAUUAGUUUUUGAAUCCAAUAGGUUUUGUGUUACAAUCUUAAAAUAUUUAUAAUAAAAGAUGAAUUCAUUCAUCGCAUAAACUUCUUGGUAUAAGCAAGAAAUUUAUGCUAUGAGUGAUUAGACACUACUAUAAACGAAAUUUUAAAUUCUUUUUCGACCUGCAAUAGUUUAGACGUAGCUUAAAAGUCAUUUAUCUAGGAAUUAUAGAGACGUACUUUUUGGCAAAAAGGCAAGAAAAAAGACUUGACUUUUUAAGCCCAACAAAACAUCCCUAAAGAACAUCUCAUUAAACAAGCCAUAAAUAUGGUUUAAAACUACUUUUUCUUGGACAUAUGUCUAAAAGAUUCUAUUCAUCUCAUCAAAUUUAGAACUUACUUCAAGUUGUUUGAGCUCAAAAUAUGCCCUCCAGCAGCUAUAAGAAUCAUCCCCUUCAAGCGUUGAACAAUAAUCUAAACAUCCAUCACACAAAAGAAAUUAAGUCGAUUAUUAGAGCCAAAGAAAGAGAUUUAAAUACUUUUAUAAAACAUCAUUAAUUCAAAAGGCUCCAAGAAUUUUAUAAAAAUAAGAAAAAAAACUUGCCUGCGAGUUGGGUUUCUGAUUUCUGAAUCAAAGGGGGUUCUUUAAAAGCUCUAUCAAUUUUGCUUCUGCUAAACGGCUCCAGCUUGGGUAUAUAAGCAUUGUUUCUUGAAGAACAACGAAUGGUUCUUGAACUUGAACUUGAACUUGACAAAUUAACAAGAAAACUGCUUAAAGAUGAAGAAGAAUCGAAAGGCACUGUUUGAAUCAUCUGUUUGUUUCUGCAAUAGUUGAUUUCAGAGAAGAGUAAUGCUAAUGCACUUAUUGUUUCGGGUUUUUAUUUAUAAAGAAAAGAAAUGAUGAGUUUCAAUAUGUCAUUGGAUAAGGAUGAAAUAUUUACGUGCUAUAUAAGCCGCCUCAGCAUCUGUUAAAGCUGAAGAAAAGGACGAGAAAAAUGAAAGAAAAACGACAAGAAAGCAGCCAAAGGCAUUCAUUUUUGAUGGGUUAGCCAUGAUUGACCCCCUUGGACAAACCCAAGGCCGCUUAUAGUUAUCAUCUUCAGGAAGAAAUGAGGGUGUUAUAUGGAGAUACCAAUCAAACUUCUGCGGAUUUGGAGGGCUCUAACGAAUUUCAGACACAAAAUUUGGGGGUCUCUGCUUGGAUUUAGGCAAGUUUUUCUCCAUGGAACAACAUGGGAAAUUGCUAAAAAUAGGGUUACAGUAAUCACCAUCCAAACAUGAAAAAAAAGAUAUUCGCAAGUCAAAAUGUUAAUAUUUUGACAAGGAGAUCUGUGCUCGACUGGAAAGCUUCGGCUGCUUCAGGGUUUCUUUUACUCAUUGUCUUUCAAACUACGGAAACUUCCAUGUGCAAACAGCGCCAUGGUAUAAGCAUUUUAACACAAAAAUGUCUCUCAGUUCAAAACAGUCACGUUGGUGAAUUGGUAUGGUCAAUUCAAUUUAUAAUUAAGUUCUUGUCUCAUUUUCAACUAUAUUAUGGCCCCGUUUGUUUAUCAUUUUGAUAAGAAUGAGAAUGAAAAAUAUAACCGUUAUGGAUCCCAUACAAUAGAUAGAAAUUUAAAUUUGGUGGUUUGAUGCGAUAAAUAACGGUCAUAUUUUUCAUUUUAAUGGAGAAAUAAAGGGAAACAAACAAGGACUAUAUAUUUUCAAAAAGAAAUCACUUUUAAAAAAAGUAACUCUUAACUAAAGUUGAUCUAGUUAGCACCGAGUCACAAUGGACCGUCUAAACUAUUCUCCAAAGUGCUUGACCACAAGUCAGAAUAGGCAUUCAAGAUGUAAAUCAAGCUCAUUGCUAAAACAAACUCAAUUUGUUCAAUAAGCCACAUCUUUUAUACAUAUAUUAACAUAUCUUUUGAGUUAUAUUAUACCACUAACACGACAAAGUUCGAUGCAAAAACUCUAUUUACAAUCUUGUUGAAGAGGUCACAAAUUGUUCAAACUACUAGGUACAUUUUCACAAAGGAUCAUGAAUCAGGAUGAGCCGAUAAUCAUCAUCAAUCUGUCUCGUGAUCAGGCACUGGAGAAUACCAAGCCGGGUAUCGUCCUCUAGCUCUAAGCAAUCUUGUGAAGGGCGAAUCCGGCAUUCUAGCUUUCUCCUCUUC